rnacentral:rRNA from 1 species
ACGAGCGGCGGACGGGUGAGUAAUGUCUGGGAAACUGCCUGAUGGAGGGGGAUAACUACUGGAAACGGUAGCUAAUACCGCAUAACGUCGCAAGACCAAAGUGGGGGACCUUCGGGCCUCAUGCCAUCAGAUGUGCCCAGAUGGGAUUAGCUAGUAGGUGGGGUAAUGGCUCACCUAGGCGACGAUCCCUAGCUGGUCUGAGAGGAUGACCAGCCACACUGGAACUGAGACACGGUCCAGACUCCUACGGGAGGCAGCAGUGGGGAAUAUUGCACAAUGGGCGCAAGCCUGAUGCAGCCAUGCCGCGUGUGUGAAGAAGGCCUUCGGGUUGUAAAGCACUUUCAGCGGGGAGGAAGGCGUUAAGGUUAAUAACCUUGGCGAUUGACGUUACCCGCAGAAGAAGCACCGGCUAACUCCGUGCCAGCAGCCGCGGUAAUACGGAGGGUGCAAGCGUUAAUCGGAAUUACUGGGCGUAAAGCGCACGCAGGCGGUCUGUCAAGUCGGAUGUGAAAUCCCCGGGCUCAACCUGGGAACUGCAUUCGAAACUGGCAGGCUAGAGUCUUGUAGAGGGGGGUAGAAUUCCAGGUGUAGCGGUGAAAUGCGUAGAGAUCUGGAGGAAUACCGGUGGCGA